rnacentral:misc_RNA from 1 species
GAUGAAGAACGCAGCAAAAUGCGAUAAGUAAUGUGAAUUGCAGAAUUCAGUGAAUCAUCGAAUCUUUGAACGCACAUUGCGCCCGCUGGUAUUCCGGCGGGCAUGCCUGUUCGAGCGUCAUUUCAACCCUCAAGCCCCCGGGUUUGGUGUUGGGGAUCGGCUCUGCCCUUCUGGGCGGUGCCGCCCCCGAAAUACAUUGGCGGUCUCGCUGCAGCCUCCAUUGCGUAGUAGCUAACACCUCGCAACUGGAACGCGGCGCGGCCAUGCCGUAAAACCCCAACUUCUGAAUGUUGACCUCGGAUCAGGUAGGAAUACCCGCUGAACUUAAGCAUAUCAAUAACGGAGGA